CUCAGAUUCUCCCCAGACGCCAAGGUUGCGGGUCAUGGAGUCCCGAACCCUCCUCCUGCUGUUCUCGGGAGCCGUGGCCCUGAUCCAGACCUGGGCAGAUUACAAUUACAAUCAAGGCAGAAAUGAUCUCAUUUUUACAUUACAACUCUGGAAAAGGCAAUAGACUGAGAUGCAAGUGUGCCCCCAAGUGAUGGGCAGAAGGAGAGAAGGUGUUUUGGAUGCAUUCUAGAACACAGGUAAUCUAAGGAGAGUUGAUCAAGGCCGUGGAAGAGUCCUCCAGCCACUAUUGGCCAUCAAAGGAGUCCUCUGUGUCCCAGGAAUGGUCCUGCUUUGGUGUCCCUGGUGUGACCCAUCACCCGCUGGGAACAGCCUGAGAGAAGUAGGGCCUCUGCACCAAUGCUGCUGAGGAUGUCAGAGCACAGGAACGAGGCCUUGGGAAAUUACCUGGAAAUGCGACUGAAAUCUUCCUUCCUGAGGGGUCUGGGCUCUUGGAAAUCAAACCCUCUCAGGUUGGGUGGCUGGACGAUUCUCCUCACACUUACAAUGGGACAAGGGGAACCAGGAGGCCCCCAAGGGGAUCCCUGGGUUCCACACGAACUCCUCCUACCCUCAUUGUGUGACAGCAGCCAUGCCUCCUCCUGGGGAUCAGGAUCUAUUACCUGUGCCUGGAGAGGAGGGGACUCCUCUUCUCACCCGCUGGUCUCUGGACACAUACUGUCCAAUUCCCCUGUGGCAGCUGUAAUGUGUAGUUCAAUGGGCACUCAUUUGUCCCCUUUUAAGGGUACCCUCCUUUAGAAUCCAGGACCUUCUACCCUGCAGAGUGUGGUUUUGGGAGAGAAGUGCAAAAUCCCACGACAGGUGAGUUGAAGGAAUGGGAUAUGGAGCCACAUCCACUUCCACCCCUUGGUAUCUGGACCCACGUGUUCUUCCUACUGAGAUUACAGAACUGUAGAGAUGUCUUUGAUUUUUAAAAUGCACCAUGUCCUGAAAGAUGGCACCCUCCCACCCGCAGAGUGCUUCCUGCAAGCUGGCGUUGAGCUGUGCCUAUAGAAGCUCUUUUCAACAUUCUUUAUGGCCAGCAGCCCUUGGUUGGUGCAGAUGGUGAUAGGACCAGUGGGUCCCACAGCAUGGCCACACUGCACCUCCUUCGCUGUCAAGUGGGUCCCCCACGAAGAUACUGCACGGAGAGCAGUGCCAAGCCUGUGGAUCAGGAAUAUCAACAGCCCCCAGAGAGUGGUGCUGGCUGAGGGUCUGAGAGCAGGACAGGAAAACCCACCUAUGGAAUAGGUGCCUAUCCCUGUGAAGAUGAACCUCUGGCCCUUCCAGGAUGGAAGGAGUGCAAUGUAGUCAACUCCUCACUUAGGGUCUGGUUGGUCACCUAAAGAAAUAGAGCCCUACCAGGGAAGAUCAUUGGGUUCAAAUGCUGAUGAGUAGGACAUUUAGAGGUGGCAGUGUCUGGAUCUACCUUGGUAGGAGGGAGUCAGUACUGUUGGACCCAUAGGUAGCCUCAUCCCUGCCACUGUGUUUGCUCCAUUUAUGUACCCAUCCUACCCGGCCUGGGCUGACCCAUGGGGAAGGCUGGCUAAUUUCAGUGCUUCUGCUUGGUUGUUCAGGGCCAUUUCAGGUUUGGGUGUUUUCUGGGGAUGUUAACAUGGGAUUCAGGCUCAACUCACAAGAAACUUUUCCAUCUCAUGAUGGAUGCUGUUGGGCAUGUCCAAUGUAUGACUUCAUGAGUUACACAGAUGCUAAUUCGUAGGGGCACUUGGAAUCACAUGGUUGUUUUGUGUCCCAUGGUCAAGCAUUCUAUCUUAUCAGGGCCUACAGUAACAUGCCAAAAGUUGCUUCCAACAUAUUUCUCUGCUUUGGAUGGGGCAUAUUUCUGUGCUGUGGAUGACAUGGCCUUACUCCAGAAUCCCAGGCCCUCCACUGUGACUCUCCUACUGGUGCUUGGUUCAGCUCCACCCCAAAUCUUACCCCACCACUGGCACUUUCAGCACCAGGGGGUCUGAAGGAUGGUGACUGCGCCAUGGCCUGGAUCUGCUGCAGUGUCCUUUCCUGUGGAGGCUCCACUCAAAGCUGGCAUCCUCCUAUGUCACCUAGAGUGUGGGUCAAAGCAAUACACCUACAUGUAGAAUGUGAUGUCAGAACUCAAACAGGCUCACCAGGCAGUGUGCUUCCUUCCUUGCAUGAGGAUGCAAGAUGCAACAGUUUGUCUUUCACAUUGGAAGGGACACCCCUGGAUGCCCCUAACCACUAGACCUGUAAAACUUCACUGCAGUGGCCACUUCUGAAUCUCUGUAAGGUUUAUUUAUCUUCACCCUCUGGAGAGAAGAUGUUUUACCAAAGCCUCUAGUGUACCUUCCUCCUCUUACUCAUCCAUCCCAGUCAACAUGAUGUUGUCAAUGAAAUAAAGGAAUUUAAUAUUCUAUAGU
rnacentral:lncRNA from 1 species